AGUCGAGCGGACAGAAGGGAGCUUGCUCCCGGAUGUUAGCGGCGGACNGGUGAGUAACACGUGGGUAACCUGCCUGUAAGACUGGGAUAACUCCGGGAAACCGGAGCUAAUACCGGAUAGUUCCUUGAACCGCAUGGUUCAAGGAUGAAAGACGGUUUCGGCUGUCACUUACAGAUGGACCCGCGGCGCAUUAGCUAGUUGGUGAGGUAACGGCUCACCAAGGCGACGAUGCGUAGCCGACCUGAGAGGGUGAUCGGCCACACUGGGACUGAGACACGGCCCAGACUCCUACGGGAGGCAGCAGUAGGGAAUCUUCCGCAAUGGACGAAAGUCUGACGGAGCAACGCCGCGUGAGUGAUGAAGGUUUUCGGAUCGUAAAGCUCUGUUGUUAGGGAAGAACAAGUGCAAGAGUAACUGCUUGCACCUUGACGGUACCUAACCAGAAAGCCACGGCUAACUACGUGCCAGCAGCCGCGGUAAUACGUAGGUGGCAAGCGUUGUCCGGAAUUAUUGGGCGUAAAGGGCUCGCAGGCGGUUUCUUAAGUCUGAUGUGAAAGCCCCCGGCUCAACCGGGGAGGGUCAUUGGAAACUGGGAAACUU
rnacentral:rRNA from 1 species